rnacentral:rRNA from 1 species
GCGAACGCUGGCGGCAGGCUUAACACCUGCAAGUCGAGCGGGCACCUUUCGGGGUGUCAGCGGCGGACGGGUGAGUAACGCGUGGGAACGUGCCCUCUGGUUCGGAAUAACUCAGGGAAACUUGAGCUAAUACCGGAUACGCCCUUUUGGGGAAAGGCUUGCUGCCGGAGGAUCGGCCCGCGUCUGAUUAGCUAGUUGGUGAGGUAACGGCUCACCAAGGCGACGAUCAGUAGCUGGUCUGAGAGGAUGAUCAGCCACACUGGGACUGAGACACGGCCCAGACUCCUACGGGAGGCAGCAGUGGGGAAUAUUGGACAAUGGGCGCAAGCCUGAUCCAGCCAUGCCGCGUGAGUGAUGAAGGCCUUAGGGUUGUAAAGCUCUUUUAUCCGGGACGAUAAUGACGGUACCGGAGGAAUAAGCCCCGGCUAACUUCGUG